rnacentral:lncRNA from 1 species
UUAUACCACUGCUUUCUUUUUUUUAACGUUUCAAAAGUCUGAGCGUUACUAAGCUAAUCAGGCUUCUCUGACAAUGCUAAUCAAUUGUUCAGCAGUCUACCUUUGGCUUAAUUACUGUUGCACUACAUUACAUUUUCAAAAUGUCAAGAAUCCUCUUCUGGAAAUGCAAUAAAUCAUGCCUACAUGGUGUCGUAGACAGCCUGUUAUUCCCUCACACCUGACCUUGGCUGCGUGAAGUUGAAAUUGAUCAUUUACUGCAGUGGUACAAUGUUAUACAGAAAGGAGCUUCAAUAAGAAUCAUAGCACAAAAGAAAAAAAGAAAAAAAAUAAGCUUUUCAGCACAUCC